rnacentral:lncRNA from 1 species
AAAGAACCAGAAUAGAAGCUGUGGCAAUUUUAAGCUGUCAAGGAUGAAAGGUCUCGAACUGAAUGAUUACCAAUUUAGAUCUGGGGGCUCAAAAAAACAAAAUGUGAUGUCAAGAAAAAGUGAAAGAUUGUCUCCCAUGAAAGUGACAAGAGAUGAAACAUGCUGAAUGAGCCUAAAUGGACAUGAUGGAGAUACGGAUGUGGAUUAAAACUGAGAGUGUUGGGAUAUAAGGAUAUAAUACUGAUUUAUGAAGGUGAACAGUCAAACGUCAGUGCAGGAUCUGAACUGCAGGGGAAAUAAGGGGCCU